AACCCAGCCGCAUUCUCUUCAUCUUCUCAAACGUUCCCCUCUUCUCUACUCUCCCAUCUCUACUUGGUGAUAACAUUAAAAAACCACCACCAUUUUGACAGGUAGAUGAUUGAGAACGAAAAGAUCUAUUCACCAUCAAUUGCUUUGACUUCUCUUUGGGGCUAUCACCAAAAUAUUUAGACAAAAUGCGUGACUAGUAAACAACCGGAUUUAGGAACUUCAGACCUUUCCUUUACUCUCGGCCAUGUACAUGCGAAACAAAGAGAAGAGGAAGCUCAUGGAAUUUUUAGUUUUUCUUCAAGCUAUCAGGAACCAGUUUUUCAUUUUAUUUUAUUUUUCAGACCUUUUCUUUAGUCUCGUUUACAGAUUUUUCCUCUAAUUUUACAAAUGAAAGAUAUGCUCAAAAGAACUCACCGGUGGGCUUCGAAAGAUGAUGGCCCCCUGCUCUCGUUUCACUCACACUCGGCGAUGACCCCAAGACAAAUAACACUUACCCGAGAACAAAAAAUCGUUUAGGUAUUGACUUUGGCACAAAUUUCUGCUGAUUUUGCUUUUGUUUGCUGCUGAAUUGAUAAUAAUGGCUUUGGUGGCUGCUUGAUUAGCGGCGACUCAUACGCGUGGAAGGGAACAGCUGUAAAGCACACAUGCAUCUCUAGUGACCGGUGGGUCGGAUCCGAACUUGGUUAGGGUCUGGACCGAUUCGAGUUGAUUUUUGGGCACCAAGAUUUGUUGUAAUAUGAGUUUGUAAAUUGGGCCUGUAAAUGUAAAAUAUAAUAAUUAAUAAUAAUAAUAUUAUUAUUAUA